CUGAGACCUAGACAACCAGGUGAGUUCCUUACUGAGACCUAGACAACCAGGUGAGUUCCUUACUGAGACCUGGACAACCAGGUGAGUUCCUUACUGAGACCUAGACAACCAGGUGAGGGGAGUUCCUUACUGAGACCUAGACAACCAGGUGAGGGGAGUUCCUUACUGAGACCUAGACAACCAGGUGAGGGGAGUUCCUUACUGAGACCUAGACAACCAGGUGAGGGGAGUUCCUUACUGAGACCUAGACAACCAGGUGAGGGGAGUUCCUUACUGAGACCUAGACAACCAGGUGAGGGGAGUUCCUUACUGAGACCUAGACAACCAGGUGAGGGG